AAUUCGAUGAUACACGAGGAACCUUACCUGGGGCUAGAAUGUGAGGGAAUUAGCAGAGAUGCAAAAGUCCGCAAGGACCCGAAACAAGGUGCUGCAUGGCUGUCGUCAGCUCGUGUCGUGAGAUGUUGGGUUAAGUCCCCGCAACGAGCGCAACCCUUAGUGUUAGUUGCCAUCAUUAAGCUGGGGACUCUAACAAGACUGCCGGCGUAAGCCGAGAGGAAGGAGGGGACGACGUCAAGUCAUCAUGGCCCUUACGCCCAGGGCUACACACGUGCUACAAUGGACGGUACAAAGAGCAGCCAACCUGCGAAGGUGCGCGAAUCUCAAAAAGCCGUUCUCAGUUCGGAUUGGAGUCUGCAACUCGACUCCAUGAAGUUGGAAUCGCUAGUAAUCGCAGAUCAGCUAUGUUGCGGUGAAUACGUUCCCGGGC
rnacentral:rRNA from 1 species